UUGUGACAGCGACAAGGGGCUUUCGCAGCUCAGUGCCAGUGGCAGUGAAGAGCUCUGGGAGCCCCUCACUGUCCCAUCAGGACAAGCUGUGGCCACGCUCCAGGAAAAGUGUUUUGAGGGGUCCAAUCUUUCUCCAGAGAACCAAGACCAGGAAAGUUGGGAUCACAAAUCCCACAAGUAGAAAAAGGACUUACUGUGUGUUCAGAGUACCAGUGGUAACAGAGACCACAGCAGAGCAUCUGUGCGGCCAACUGGGAAAGGGCGAGUGGCUCGACAGUGAUGUCUUUUUCUGUCAUUUACAGAGUGCUUUCACCAACAUUUCACUUAAUAUGAGUGGAAGGACUUAACCACUGUAAUUUCAAAGGCUAAGAGAAAGAUAUACUAACUUCAGGAGAAACUGAAACUGUAAAUGGGCAGCAAAGUUAGCUGGACACCCUUUCAGGGGAUUCGGAAAGUUGCCAUGAAUUCAGAGUGAUCAAACUCCUAGCAAGGAGUGUGUGCAGAUUGGGGCAGUCAGUGCUCCAUGGGCCCGGGAGGGUGUGAGGAGAUGCAUGACGUGGCUGCAAGUCCUCGUCCCCUGGCCUCGGAACGAAGAGGCCGCACACCCAGGCCCUAGAAACACUGGCAAGGCCACGAGCUACUGCAUGUCUGCACAUCAGAGACGCUUAAGGCCACAAGAAAAGGAAGCCUGGGGACGGUCACGCCUGUGUGCGAGGCAAGGUGGAGCAGAAGAGACGCCGCAGGUCGCUGCCACCUCACAGCACCACAGCGUUCACCCGUUGCUCCCGCCCUCUCCCCAGCACACACUGGCAUGUGAGAGGGAGACGUGGCUCCUCUGAGCACGGUGGCAUGGUGCUCACAAGUGUGCUCUCAAGUGCCUCAGGAUUGAACCCCAGUGCAGUAAACGUCAGCACACAGAACUCACCUUCACGGGUGACAUGGAGAGCCCCCGCGGGCUGCAGUCCCUCACCUGUGACCUGGGCACAUGGCAACAUCUGGGGCAAGGGGGUUUGGCUCGCUGCCUCCUCCCCUUCCACACCUUCUGCACUAGGAUUCUAUGGUCCCACAACACCGAAGUGUCGCUCCCACUUUGGGAGCUGGCUCUGACCUCGCAGCGCUGUAGCGUCAAGAACUUCACUGGCUGGAGAAGGGAACUCUCCUCCCAGUGGCAGCACAGGGACUUGGGCUGAGCACCGGCCUGUGUCAUCGCACACCACCUCACACAGUGCAGGGCAGUGCCACACAGGCAGGGUUUCACUCUGGAGUGAUUGCCUUGUCCUGGAGUUCACAGUAAAGGGUAUUUGCUUUGUUGAUCUAUGUCUUGGUGUCAUCUCUAACCCCCCUUAGACUAUAUGAAAAGAAAAUAAUUGUUUCUUUAUUUCUAGGGGAGUCAAAUCCUUCUGCACAUCUGGGAUUUAGGCAUUAUUAAAAAUAAUGAAUUCCUGGGCUGAGGGAAUAGCUCGGUGAUAGAGCAUUUGUUUAGCAUAAGCAAGGCCCCAGGAUUUAUCCUCAGCCUGAAAAAAGAGUUCCCUAAUUUAUUUGGUCAUAUUGUACACUUUCUUCAUUGUUUGAAAUAUACAGAGUAACAGUACUGUAAAAUACACUGACUUUUAAAUAAAUUUUGCUUCUUUCCAAAAGAAAUUGCC